rnacentral:RNase_P_RNA from 1 species
UGAGUGGGUCGGGCGGUCGCCCCGCACCUGCUUUGCACAGCGAAGCAGGUGCGGGGAGGAAAGUCCGAGCAGGAUAGGGCACGGUGGUGGCUAACGGCCACCCGGGGUAACCCGCGGGCAAGUGCCACAGAAAACACACAGCCGAUGGCCCUUAUUAGGGCACAGGUAAAGGUGAAAAGGUGCGGUAAGAGCGCACCACGUCGCUGGUGACAGCGUCGGUGAGGUAAACCCCACCGCCUGCAAGACCAAGUAAGCCGGCUGGAUUCUUACAACCGGUUAAGAAUCCUUUGCCCUGCCCGGGUAACCGCCGGCGGGUAGGUCGCUUGCCGUUUUCGGCAGAGCCAAUCGGUAACGGUUGGUCCAGUUAAAUGGCCGCCGUCCCGCACCUGCUUUGCAUGGCAAAGCAGGAAAUUCUAAUAUCUAAAUAUCGAAAUUCUAAACAAAUCCGAAAUUCGAAUGUUCGAAUUCUCGAAACGAGUUGUUUUGGUCAUUUGAAUUUUGGUUAUUUGGAAUUGUUUCGGAUUUCGUGCUUCGUGCUUGGGAUUUCUGCUUUUCUGUUCAAAGCAGGUGCGGGAUACAGAACUCGGCUUACAGACCCACUCAAUUA